rnacentral:rRNA from 1 species
GUGAACGCUGGCGGUAGGCCUAACCCCUGCAAGUCGAACGGCAGCACAGUAAGAGCUUGCUCUUACGGGUGGCGAGUGGCGGACGGGUGAGGAAUACAUCGGAAUCUACUUUUUCGUGGGGGAUAACGUAGGGAAACUUACGCUAAUACCGCAUACGACCUACGGGUGAAAGCAGGGGAUCUUCGGACCUUGCGCGAUUGAAUGAGCCGAUGUCGGAUUAGCUAGUUGGCGGGGUAAAGGCCCACCAAGGCGACGAUCCGUAGCUGGUCUGAGAGGAUGAUCAGCCACACUGGAACUGAGACACGGUCCAGACUCCAACGGGAGGCAGCAGUGGGGAAUAUUGGACAAUGGGCGCAAGCCUGAUCCAGCCAUACCGCGUGGGUGAAGAAGGCCUUCGGGUUGUAAAGCCCUUUUGUUGGGAAAGAAAAGCAGCAGGUUAAUACCCCGCUGUUCUGACGGUACCCAAAGAAUAAGCACCGGCUAACUUCGUG